AAUCAAAUCAGUUUGUAAUCUGCAUAUAACCAUGUCAGUUUUUAUCUAGCAGUCCGAAUCACAAUCUGGCUGAUGAUGAUCACUACAAUGACAACGAGGCCAAUACCAAGGGCGACAUGAUUCAGGGAUAGUAACAAGAGGCAGAGGUAAGUGAAUCCAACCACAGUGUUUAUUUACAGAAUAACAAGUACGAGGUAAGUAAUCAGUGGUUUCAGGUGCGGGUUUGGUGCAAAUCCCUCAGUGCGAGGCUGAAAACAGGUGAGUACAUCCUUUGCAGAUAUGUCAAUGCAACACAGUCACAGUUCGUUAAUACUUUUCUCUUUCUCUUUCAGACGCGGAAGUUAUCAAGUGAGCUUGGAUGAAACACAGGAGCAGGGUCGUAGCUGGGGUUCACGGGGCCCCGGUGCAGGUUCUACCAGUGGGCCCUUUUUGAAAUUGUUUAAUUUGCAUGUUCAUUCUAUUUAUUUAUUUGCACUAUUUACACCAUGUUUAAGCUUGUUUAAGUUUGUAUGUGUACUUUAAGUGUAAGUACAGAAACGGAAUAAUCAAAUGUAAAAUAGCACUACAUAGGCUUCAGUGUAAAAUAAAUUAUACAGUCAGACCAAAAUGUAUUCAAAUACCUUUAACAUUUCUCACAUUAUCAUAGUUUAUUUGCUAUAGUUUAGAAACAUGGUAAAAAAAUAGAACAAGAACUUAUAGUUAAACUGUUAGAACAAAUGUAUCUUGAUAAUGCCAGAAAGCUUUGAGAAAAAGGUGUGUAUUGGAUUACAAUCAAACAAAACUUUAGACAACUGUUAGUAGUUUGCUUUAUUUUGUUGUAGGUUACAUAAAUGAAUAUUGCUCUGCACCCACAAAUAAAAAAUGUCAAAAAAUUA